rnacentral:rRNA from 1 species
CCUACGGGAGGCAGCAGUAGGGAAUAUUGGUCAAUGGGGGAAACCCUGAAGCAGCAACGCCGCGUGGAGGAUGAAGGUUUUAGGAUUGUAAACUCCUUUUGUUAGAGAAGAUUAUGACGGUAUCUGACGAAUAAGGACCGGCUAACUCCGUGCCGGCAGCCGCGGUAAUACGGAGGGUGCAAGCGUUACUCGGAAUUACUGGGCGUAAAGCGUGCGUAGGCGGGGUAAUAAGUCCGAGGUGAAAUCCUGUAGCUUAACUACAGAACUGCAUUUGAAACUGUUACUCUGGAGUGUGGGAGAGGUAGGUGGAAUGCUUGGUGUAGGGGUAAAAUCCGUAGAGAUCAAGAGGAAUACUGAUUGCGAAGGCGACCUGCUGGAAGACUACUGACGCUGAUGCACGAAAGCGUGGGGAGCAAACAGGAUUAGAUACCCUUGUAGUC